UCCUUGGUGGCUCAGUGGUAAAGAAUCUGCCUGCCAAUGCAGAAGACAUGGGUUCAAUCCCUAGUCCAGGAA
rnacentral:tRNA from 1 species